rnacentral:rRNA from 1 species
UCUUCCGCAAUGGACGAAAGUCUGACGGAGCAACGCCGCGUGAGUGAUGAAGGCUUUCGGGUCGUAAAACUCUGUUGUUAGGGAAGAACAAGUGCUAGUUGGAUAAGCUGGCACCUUGACGGUACCUAACCAGAAAGCCACGGCUAACUACGCGCCAGCAGCCGCAGUAAUACGUAGGUGGCAAGCGUUAUCCGGAAUUAUUGGGCGUAAAGCGCGCGCAGGUGGUUUCUUAAGUCUGAUGUGAAAGCCCACGGCUCAACCGUGGAGGGUCCUUGGAAACUGGGAGACUUGAGUGCAGAAGAGGAAAGUGGAAUUCCAUGUUUAGCGGUGAAAUGCGUAGAGAUAUAGAGGAACACCAGUGGCGAAGGCGACUUUCUUGUCUGUAACUGACACUGAGGCGCGAAAGCGUGGGGAGCAAACAGGA